rnacentral:rRNA from 1 species
UACGUAGGGGGCAAGCGUUGUCCGGAAUCAUUGGGCGUAAAGAGCGUGUAGGCGGCCAGAUAAGUCCGCUGUGAAAUCUCGAGGCUCAACUUCGAGCUGUCGGUGGAAACCAUCUGGCUAGAGUCCGGAAGAGGAGAGUGGAAUUCCCGGUGUAGCGGUGAAAUGCGCAGAUAUCGGGAAGAAUAUCCGUGGCGAAGGCGGCUCUCUGGUACGGCACUGACGCUGAGACGCGAAAGCGUGGGGAGCGAACAGG